CCCAAACCCUAACCUAAUUUUGAAGCUUCAUCUGCCGACCCUCCCUUUCCCUCAAGACCAAGCUCGCAUCUCUCUUUCUCAAAAAAUACGCCCAGCACCUCACCGUCCAGCAGCUGCCUGGACUCAGCCGCAUCAAGAGACGAGAAAUAAAAGUACUUGAUCAUCUCUCUCAAACACACACGCACAUAGAUAGAGAAACGGAGAGAGGACAGAAAAUUGAGAGGAGAAAAGUUUAUGAAAAAUUAUGGUUUAGUUUUAGUGUUCAUCCUUCACUGAUUUUUAUUGGAAAAGAGAAGUACAAAAAAAAGAAGAAAAAGAACGGACCCUCCCCUCCCAUAGACGAACCCUAGCAGCGACGCCUCACCUCUCCAUCAACUCCGACCAGACCCUCCGAUCCCAUACCCAAAAACCUUGCUGCUUACUCUCACUCUUUCACUCACGUUUUUGAGCACACAUACACACAAAAAAAGCACUUAGCAACAAACGAAAAAAAAAAAGAAAAAAAAAUCGAAGUUCUGGUUUUAAAAGAGGCGAUUUAGCCUCAAGCCACUGCUCGGUUCAACUGUUUAUUGCCGGAUUUAUGCUGCUGAGCUCCAACCAGCUGUGUUCUCUUUAUUUGGUUUAAAUUUGGUCCUUGCACCAUUGGCCGAGGUGCUUGUCACCCGGUGAAGAAUUUUAGUUACACAUAUUUUAGGCGGGGAGCACCAUCAGCUAAGCUGAAAAGCAAUGCUACCGGUAUCAGACUCAAGAUCAAGUUUCAGAAGACUUAGAGAUAGGAACCUUGUAACUCACAGCUGAUAGGCUUGUUUAGUUUUUUUUCAUUUUAAUUAUGGUGUAAUAAGGAGUUCAGCAAGCAGCAAUAAAAGUGAAAUCACAGUUUCCCGAUAAUCUCAGCUACCACAACUCCUUGAACUACACGCGACCUGAUUCCUUAUAACCCGGGAUAUGUAGGCUGCCCAAACCAGGACUCGGUUGUACUAUUUUCUCUUAUCUCUUCCCUUUUGAAUAACGGUAUGACCAAAAAUUAGUCAUAUCGCUCAUCUUUUCUUUGUAUGAAAACUCUACGUGUUUCCAAGCAAAGAGGCGCAUGUUGUGAGCACUUAAUUUUUGAUCAUGUUUGAAUUUUUCCCACUCAUCUCACCAAUACCUCACUUCUCACUCCACUUUCCCUUGCUCCCCAAUUUUUGUCCCCCCUCCCCUCCCCCANCCUCUCUUACAAAAACACAUCAUCUCCACAAUCCCAGAGGAGAAGAAGAACGGAUCAUCUCUCUUUACAAAAAACCAUAGCCGCCACCCUCUCAUUCUUCACACCCUCCAAUCCGCCUACACUCCUCACACUCGCCUCUCUCAACUCACUCAUAUAGACACACUCUAACACACUUAGCCAUCAUCCUUUACACUCUAAAGAAAAACACAACAUCAGAGAGAAACAAAAUAGUAGCUAAAAUAGCUUUCAGUUUUCCCUUUGUACGUUCCAAAAAUGAAACGAGUCCCCUUUGGUGUUUAGCUUCUAUUUUUUGUCUGUUGGCUCAAGCAUUAUCUGGGUUGUUGGAGUUUUUGAUAUUUGGUGCUGCUGGGGUAUUUGAUUUGAAUUGUUCUGCUGGCUUCUCAUCGUUAUUGCUCUAGCAUUUCAACAUUUAGGUAUUUCUUCUUCUGUUGUAGCUUUUGAAUUGUUUCAUAUGAAUGAAGAAUGUAUGGUUUUUGAGUCUUUAUUUGAAAUUA